GUGCCUGUCAAGUGCCCUUGCCCCCACCCGGGCAGUUUCUCUCAGCCCCCGUUUCUGAGGGCAGGGCGGCCUAACCUAACAUCAUCUCAGAAAAAAGCAGGAGAUCCUCAGCUUAUGAGCCAACUCGCUCAUUGAUAAGGAGCCCUACAGCUGUGCCCGCAAGGAUCAGAAGGCAGGCAGUGAUUCCAUGUGCCUGUGGGGUGGCUGAACGCCGGGAAGCCGUGUCAGUGCUGAGGUGGCUGCGCUGUGGGCAGUGUUCCCAAGGUCUCAGAGAUACUGUAACAAUCCCUGGAGGCAUACCACCAGUUCUCUUUUCUUCAUCCAGAAUGGUAUAAAGAAACAAUUUGAUUCGACAUCCAAUGGUAAGCAUCUUUCCCUACUGCUACUCCUAUUAUUAUUAUAGUCUAGAAGUUGAAAUUGCCUAAAAUGACAACUAGAGACACCCAACUGUACCAAUCUGUUAUUUUCUGGGAGGUGUAGGAUACUCAUGUCUAUAUCUCCUUUCAUGUUUCCUACAGAUUAAUCCAUAUUCUUGCUCUGUCCUUCACCAUUCUGUCCAAAUACAUUUUUCUGUAAGAAUCAAAGAAAAAAAAUAAUUUCUGCUCUGCUAAACCAAACUUUUCCUGGUCUAGCACUCUUCUUUUUCCCCAAGAGGCUGUUCUUUGACAGCAUUCAGUUUACUAAUAGACCUUUCUGACUUAUCUAAUCUGUCUUUCCAUGCACACACAGAACAUUCUUCACCACGCUAAUGAACACUCUGUUAUCUGACCUUACCUCUGUGAGGCAGGCUCAGUCUCACUGACACCUCCCCCUGACCCCAUGUCUUGAUGCUGUGCAAUGCCACUGAUCCCGUGGAUGGAGGCAGAACAGAACAAAUUAUGCAUCCAUGGCCAAAGAGACCCAGCUCCAGAAAACCAAUGGAGCUCUAACAAACCAAUACAGCUCUAACAAAAAAAUAAUACUGCCCUAUUUCUCAGUGACAUAUGGCCACAAUCCUUGGACAUGAUUCCUUAGUGAUGGGACCAUUCCCAUCUUCAGUUCCUAGAAUAUCCAGACAGUGCUAAUGACAUUAAGGUUUUGGGAGAUGCUUUGCAUCGUUGGCAUUUUGGCCCAGAUUCCAUCCUACAAAUGUUAAUAGCAGACUCCAAACUGCAGAAGAAUGAGAAUGUGAGCUUUCAACUCAAAGAGACAAAAAAAACCAGAAUUCAGACUUCUACUCUCAGCACGGCCGUUCAGAAGACAAUCAGGAUACUGCAUACCUUCUGGGAAUUUAUGUUCUUCUAUGCAUUUUACUAGGUUUCCAGUAAGGAUCCAUAAGUCCUUUCUUUGGAGACUGAUUAAACUAUUGCUUUUACAACAGUAUUUAUGGUCAAUUGGAUGCUAUUAAAUUCUGGAUAAUAAUAGCAAAAAAUGAUAAUCAUAAAAUCAGUCCUGCGAGAACAAUGAUUUACACUCAGAUUUGUAUUAGUUAUAUUUUCCAUAUUUUUUCAUGGUAUCCAAGUAUUGUAAAAAUAUGUAUACUUUCACUGCUAGUCUUAAGGCAUGAUACGAAGUUUGAGGUGAGAGCUAGUUCAAUUUAGUAUCUUUCUGAAAAAGCUACUAAACCGAGAGCAAUAUUCCAUUCACCUUAAGAUGCAGCUUAGCACAGGUAAUGGCUACUUCUUGCUGCUGUUCUUUUAUAACCAAUCUGUGUAAGUUACUCAGUAUGU